rnacentral:rRNA from 1 species
CCUACGGGGUGCACCAGUGGGGAAUAUUGGACAAUGGGCGAAAGCCUGAUCCAGCAAUGCCGCGUGUGUGAAGAAGGUCUUCGGAUUGUAAAGCACUUUCGACGGGGACGAUGAUGACGGUACCCGUAGAAGAAGCCCCGGCUAACUUCGUGCCAGCAGCCGCGGUAAUACGAAGGGGGCUAGCGUUGCUCGGAAUGACUGGGCGUAAAGGGCGCGUAGGCGGUUUAUGCAGUCAGAUGUGAAAUCCCCGGGUUUAACCUGGGAACUGCAUUUGAGACGCAUAGACUAGAGGUCGAGAGAGGGUUGUGGAAUUCCCAAUGUGAGGUGAAAUUCGUAGAUAUUGGGAAGAACACCGGUGGCGAAGGCGGCAACCUGGCUCGAUACUGACGCUGAGGCGCGAAAGCGUGGGGGGCAAACGGGAUUAGAUACCCGCGUAGUC